GAUGAACGCUGGCGGCGUGCCUAAUACAUGCAAGUCGAGCGAAUGGAUUAAGAGCUUGCUCUUAUGAAGUUAGCGGCGGACGGGUGAGUAACACGUGGGUAACCUGCCCAUAAGACUGGGAUAACUCCGGGAAACCGGGGCUAAUAACGGAUAAUAUUUUGAACUGCAUGGUUCAAAAUUGAAAGGCGGCUUCGGCUGUCACUGAUGGAUGGCGUCGCGUCGCAUUAGCUAGUUGGUGAGGUAACGGCUCACCAAGGCAACGAUGCGUAGCCGACCUGAGAGGGUGGUCGGCCACACUGGGACUGAGACACGGCCCAGACUCCUACGGGAGGCAGCAGUAGGGAAUCUUCCGCAAUGGACGAAAGUCUGACGGAGCAACGCCGCGUGAGUGAUGAAGGCUUUCGGGUCGUAAAACUCUGUUGUUAGGGAAGAACAAGUGCUAGUUGAAUAAGCUGGCACCCUGACGGUACCUAACCAGAAAGCCACGGCUAACUACGUGCCAGCCGCCGCAGUAA
rnacentral:rRNA from 1 species